rnacentral:rRNA from 1 species
AUUGAACGCUGGCGGCAUGCCUUACACAUGCAAGUCGAACGGCAGCACGGGGGCAACCCUGGUGGCGAGUGGCGAACGGGUGAGUAAUGCAUCGGAACGUGCCCAGUUGUGGGGGAUAACCAGUCGAAAGACUGGCUAAUACCGCAUACGACCUACGGGUGAAAGCGGGGGACCGCAAGGCCUCGCGCUAUUGGAGCGGCCGAUGUCUGAUUAGCUAGUUGGCGGGGUAAGAGCCCACCAAGGCGACGAUCAGUAGCUGGUCUGAGAGGACGACCAGCCACACUGGGACUGAGACACGGCCCAGACUCCUACGGGAGGCAGCAGUGGGGAAUAUUGGACAAUGGGCGCAAGCCUGAUCCAGCAAUACCGCGUGUGUGAAGAAGGCCCUAGGGUUGUAAAGCACUUUCAAUGGGGAGGAAAAAGAGUAAGCUAAUACCUUGCUUAUUGACAUUACCCAUACAAGAAGCACCGGCUAACUCCGUGCCAGCCGCCGCAGUAAAAC